CUUCCUUUCCUCUUCUCCUUUCUCCAUUCCUUCUUUUCUCCUUUUCUCAUCUCUUUCCUCCUUGCCUCAUGAAGCCCUCCUAGUUCAUGGUACACCACCUUCGCCAUUGUGGAGCUUGGCAUAACAAAAUUGAAGGAGCAAUUUGCUAUCUGGGAUUGUGAAAGAAUGAUUGCUUCUCUCCCUUUGGACCAGAUUUAACAAAUAAGUUAAAAUUAACUUAAAAUUAAAUAAGAGAACUUUUACAAAUUAAUUUAUGCGCAUGCUAAAUUUAACUUAUGGGAGAAACUUGUUUUAUGUUAUCUUCUUAUUUCUUCUUUUAUAAGUACUUAUUUAAAAGUUUAUCCAAACAAAGUUGUAUCUAAAAAGGGGUUUCAUGCAGAGAGAGAGGAACAGAGGAUGAUAAAAUGUGCUUUUAGGUCUCUCAAUUUUUUUGUCAAAAUCGGUCUUAGUCCCUAUAUUUUAAAAAUAGUGAUUAUUGUUCUCUUUUUUUUUUUUAUAACUAGUGAUAUGUAUCUCUUCUCAUGGAACUUAUGAUACUAGUCUGAGAUGAAAUUCAUCAAUUAUAAAAAGUUGUUCUUUCUUAUCUU